GACGAGCGCUGGCGGCGUGCUUAACACAUGCAAGUCGAACGAGGUCCAUGCAGUAGCAAUACUGCGGAAGACCUAGUGGCGAACGGGUGAGUAUCACGUGAGAAACCAACCCCGGUCUUUGGGAUAACAGUUGGAAACGACUGCUAAUACCGAAUGCCGUCGUUGCCUCGCAUGGGGCGAUGACGAAAGGGCUACCGGAUCGGGACGGUCUCGCGGCCUAUCAGCUCGUUGGGGAGGUAACGGCUCACCAAGGCUUCGACGGGUAGCUGGUCUGAGAGGAUGAUCAGCCACACUGGGACUGAGACACGGCCCAGACUCCUACGGGAGGCAGCAGUGGGGAAUCUCGCGCAAUGGGCGAAAGCCUGACGCAGCAACGCCGCGUGCGGGAUGAAGGCCUUCGGGUUGUAAACCGCUUUUACCAGGAACGAAAAUGACGGUACCUGGAAAAUAAGGUGCGGCCAACUACGUGCCAGCCGCCGCAGUAA
rnacentral:rRNA from 1 species